UGAGGCCUCCUGACUGGCGCCGCUGGUCUGGCAACAGAGCGGCGGAUGCCGGAAAGUUGGUCAAACUUGAUCAUUUAGAGGAAGUAAAAGUCGUAACAAGGUUUCCGUAGGUGAACCUGCGGAAGGAUCAUUACCGAUACCGUUGCAAACGUAUCACCGUGUGAACCGUACCAAACCUUUAGGGGUCGGCAAGUCCGUUAAAUGGCGGUCGUACGCGUCCUGCGGGCCGCGGACGCUCCGCCGGCCCCGCCAGUGUGUUUUUUGCACGUGGGCUUUGCGCAUGUACUGUCUGAAGUGAGGGCGUCGCCCCACGAGAGCGAAACGAAACGAGAGACAACUUUUGACGGUGGAUCUCUUGGCUCACGCAUCGAUGAAGAACGCAGCCAGCUGCGAUAAGUAGUGUGAAUUGCAGAAUUCAGUGAAUCAUCGAAUCUUUGAACGCAAAUGGCGCUCUUGGGUUCUCCCAGGAGCAUGUCUGUCUGAGUGUCGGAUACCAUCCAGCGCACCCCACGGUGCGGCGUUGAGGCGUCACGGCCGCCGCCCAAGGCGACACCGUGUCCCUCGAAGGCGAGAGAGACUCGCGCGGGCCGGGACCUGGUUCGCCGGCGCACUCGCGGAGGCUAAAAACGCUUUUUGCCCUUCGCGUGCCGGCGUUUCCGCCCGACCGCCGAGUCGAACGAGGCGAACGACAACCGGAGAAGCGUCUGACCUCAGAUCAG
rnacentral:sRNA from 1 species